CACCCAUGACAAUGGGCAAAGAGACACCUUGUUGAUGGUAGUGUUUUUAUAUCAGUCAGGGGGAGAGCAGGUGACAGUCCUUUGUUCAUCUUAGCUUGAUGCCCGGCUUGGUGGCCAAAGCUGUCUUAUGCCUAGGAUGCAUAA